GAGUUUGAUCAUGGCUCAGAACGAACGCUGGCGGCAUGCCUAAAACAUGCAAGUCGAACGGGGUCCAUCCUUCGGGAGAAAACCUAGUGGCGAACGGGUGAGUAACACGUGAGCAACCCACCCCGGAGACUGGGAUAAGCCAGGGAAACCUGGUCUAAUACCGGAUAAUUUCAUAAGGACUUUUGUUCUGAUGAACAAAUGGUUUUUCGCUCUGGGACGGGCUCGCGGCCUAUCAGCUUGUUGGUGGGGUAACGGCCUACCAAGGCUUCGACGGGUAGCUGGUCUGAGAGGAUGGUCAGCCACACUGGGACUGAGACACGGCCCAGACUCCUACGGGAGGCAGCAGUUAGGAAUCUUGCGCAAUGGGCGAAAGCCUGACGCAGCAACGCCGCGUGAGGGAUGAAUGCCUUCGGGUUGUAAACCUCUUUCAGUAGGAACGAAAUUGACGGUACCUGCAGAAGAAGCUCCGGCCAACUACGUGCCAGCCGCCGCGGUAAC
rnacentral:rRNA from 1 species